AGUUCACCGAUUAGAGCAAUGAAGUCUACAUUUGUCCUCCUGUUUGUUUCGGUUGCGUCGGCACUCGUGCUUUAUGACAGCGGAGAGGAAUCACUGUUGAGAACUGAGUUUAUGGAUUCCGGAUCCCCACCCGAAAUUAAUUACAUGUCAUCUGAUGAGCUUCCGUGGGCAGAUGAACGUCUCUUAUAUCGACUAUUAAAAUUACAUAAGAAUAACACAACUGAGCAGGACUUAAAUACGAAGAACGCCCCAGAAACAAAGGCUCACAAAAGUGUUGAGAUAAAAAGAUCGAAAAGUAAUAAGCUAACGGAUAACAGUAACAGUCCGCGUAACUCCGCGAGGAAAUGGUACUUGAAGAAAGGCAAAGGAACGCCGACACUGUGUUUUUUCAAAAUUUGCUCGUUCAAAACCAUACAGUGGUAGAAUAUAUUAAAGCCCGGACAAAGUACCGCUGAAACAAAUGGAAAUCUUGUAAAAUAAUGACAAAGCUUAUUGAAAUAAAC